GACCAUGAUUACCGCUGCCGCUGGAUGCGUCCAGGGCCGGGAUGCGCGACCGUGAAACGCUGCGCUUCCGAAGCCCUCGCAGGCUCCCGGGUGCUAGAGCAGGAGACAUACCCUCUGUCCAGCCCUCCACUCUCAGCCCCCAGUUUUUUUUCCUACUUUUGCUUUUCAGGAGUCGCCCAGCAAGACUUGAAAGGAGGCCUGCUGGACAGGAUGCUAGAGCCUGGCAGUGACCACUUGGGGGCCCCUGGGCAUUAAAUAAACUUCUUGGGGCCCGUUUCCUUAUUAUAUUUGGCUCUAGAUUUGUUGUGCGUUUCAGUGAGAAGCACCUGUAUGUGGUUCAUGUGAGCUUCCUCCUCGCCACUUGUGAAAAAUCCUCCCAGCCUGAACCGAGGGAACUAAAUUACUUUCCCAGCAAACUGCCGUUUUCCACACUACUCACACCCACCAACUCUGUGUUACGAGUUCACAACUUUUUCUCCGUCAAUAAUCCCGCGUAUUACUCCCCCAGGCCUUUCCUACCGAGUCAUGUGCUGAGAAAUGGUGGGCUUAGCCACGCAAACGUUUAUUGAGCAUCCACUAUCUGCUAGGAGCUGUUAGGCACCAUGCUAGCAGUGGAGAUAAAGAUGAGUAAGACAUGGCCUUGCACGUGAGGAGCUCCUGGUCCAAAGAAAACUACAGAGGGUUAGAAGCCUUGUUAACAGGAAGUAAAUUUGUCCCAUCAAAUACAGUCUUCUGUUGAUUGUCUCCUCGAAAAAGGCAGCAUCACAGGAAAUGGCCGGUACACACAGUUGACAAACGCCAGGAAUCCCCAGAAAAUAGAACAUCAAGAGUUGAGGGAGCUAAGGCCACCUCCAGCCCCCAUGGGAUGGAUGCUCUGCUGGAAUUCCUGAGCAGCACAGCUAGCCCCAGAAGUUCUAACUCUCGAGAACCUUGGGUAAUGAAUGGCAAGAACAGAAAUGAAGAGUCUGCUGCAGUGCUAAGGACACCUUUUAAUUUCAUCACAUUUGCCAAACUUUGCCUUAAAUGUAUCACGGUAACUGACAGUUUUGACUGAAAAAUAAACAGAUAUGAUUUGGCUGUGUCCCCACCCAAA